rnacentral:rRNA from 1 species
GACGGAGGAUGCAAGUGUUAUCCGGAAUCACUGGCGUAAAGCGUCUGUAGGUGGUUCAAUAAGUCAACUGUUAAAUCUUGAGGCUCAACUUCAAAAUCGCAGUCGAAACUAUUGGACUCGAGUAUAGUAGGGGUAAAGGGAAUUUCCAGUGGAGCGGUGAAAUGCGUAGAGAUUGGAAAGAACACCAAUGGCGAAAGCACUUUACUGGGCUAUUACUGACACUGAGAGACGAAAGCUAGGGGAGCGAAUGGG